GCUGGGUGAAGUGGCUCAUGCCUGUAAUCCUAGCACUCUCGGAAGCUGAGGCAGGAGGAUCACUUGAGCUCAGGAGUAUGAGGUUGCUGUGAGCUAUGAUGUCGCCAUAGCACUCUAGCCUGGGCAACAGAGUGAGACUCUGUCUCAA
rnacentral:SRP_RNA from 1 species